rnacentral:rRNA from 1 species
CGAACGGGUGAGUAACACGUGAGCAAUCUGCCCUUGACUCUGGGAUAACUGCGGGAAACUGUAGCUAAUACCGGAUACGACGCCUUGGGGCAUCCCACGGGCGUGGAAAGAAUUUCGGUCAAGGAUGAGCUCGCGGCCUAUCAGCUUGUUGGUGAGGUAAUGGCUCACCAAGGCGACGACGGGUAGCCGGCCUGAGAGGGUGACCGGCCACACUGGGACUGAGACACGGCCCAGACUCCUACGGGAGGCAGCAGUGGGGAAUAUUGCGCAAUGGGCGAAAGCCUGACGCAGCAACGCCGCGUGAGGGAUGACGGCCUUCGGGUUGUAAACCUCUUUUAGCAGGGAAGAAGCGAAAGUGACGGUACCUGCAGAAAAAGCACCGGCUAACUACGUGCCAGCAGCCGCGGUAAUACGUAGGGUGCAAGCGUUAUCCGGAAUUAUUGGGCGUAAAGGGCUCGUAGGCGGUUUGUCGCGUCUGCUGUGAAAAUCUGAGGCUCAACCUCGGACUUGCAGUGGGUACGGGCGGACUAGAGUGCAGUAGGGGAGAAGGGAAUUCCUGGUGUAGCGGUGGAAUGCGCAGAUAUCAGGAGGAACACCAAUGGCGAAGGCACUUCUCUGGGCUGUAACUGACGCUGAGGAGCGAAAGCGUGGGGAGCGAACAGGAUUAGAUACCCUGGUAGUCCACGCCGUAAACGUUGGGCGCUAGAUGUGGGUCACAUUCCACGUGAUCCGUGUCGCAGCUAACGCAUUAAGCGCCCCGCCUGGGGAGUACGGCCGCAAGGCUAAAACUCAAAGGAAUUGACGGGGGCCCGCACAAGCGGCGGAGCAUGCGGAUUAAUUCGAUGCAACGCGAAGAACCUUACCAAGGCUUGACAUGUAGAGGAAAACUGCAGAAAUGCAGUCCCCCGCAAGGGUCUCUAUGCAGGUGGUGCAUGGUUGUCGUCAGCUCGUGUCGUGAGAUGUUGGGUUAAGUCCCGCAACGAGCGCAACCCUCGUCCUAUGUUGCCAGCACAUAAUGAUGGGAACUCAUGGGAGACUGCCGGGGUCAACUCGGAGGAAGGUGGGGAUGACGUCAAAUCAUCAUGCCCCUUAUGUCUUGGGCUGCACGCAUGCUACAAUGGCCGGUACA